UCUCUACUUUUAUGAAUCUCUACUCUUCAUGUGUUUCUCUAGCAUUCUAGUAUUACUCAGUACAUAUUGUCCAUUUAUGACCAUUUUUUCCAUCCAAUAUUAGAAAGGUAUCUUCAGAUUAUUGAGUCAUUUGUUUUUCCAUGAAAAUGGAAAAACUUCUCAAUGAAAGCACCAAUGUUAGAACCCCUCUUUGAGUUAGGGAAAAAAACUCCAAAUUAAACCAAAUUCAAUAUCAAUUCAUUAAUUCCUUAUGAUACAUUGAUAAAAGUUUCCUAUUUAUACUCUUAAAAAGACUAAGUAAUUCUAAUGGGCUUAACUAGCAUCCUUUCUAAUAUUAAAUUGUAACAUCACUGCUCGCGAUUUACUCUUCUCUAUUCGAUUUCCUCGUCAUUGCCUGUGUUCCUCAUUGCUGGCGUCGCUGUUGCCGUCUCCGUCGUGUUCGUCGCUGCUCGCCUAGCCGUUAGGUUCGUCCCUGCUCGCGUCACCAUCUGUUCAUGGCUGCUCGCAUUUGAAGCUUCUGAUUUUUGGUCUUCUCGCUUCCAACUUUCUCGCCGCCUUCUGCUCUCAGCGUCUUCUUGGCUCCUGGCUGGGUGCUGAUCUGCUCUACUCCGCCGUGGUGCAUCACAGGGGUUGGAGUUGGCUGGGAAUUCUUUCAGUUCAAUUGAGUUAGCGCUAAGUUUUCGCCAUGCUUCCAAUUACGUUCACUUCUUUUUUUUCUACUUUUCUCCUUGCAAAUUUUGUAGGUUUGCUUUCAUAGCUACAAUAUUUGGGGAAUUCUCGGAAGCUUUGUUUUGGCUACAGCUGCCUCUAGCGCUUAAACAUUUGAUGGAUUUUGUGUGCAAUAGCUAUUUCAAUGGUUUUAUCUUGUAAAGUUGUAAACAAUGGUUUGGAUGCUUGAUGGAUCUUGUGUGCAAUAGCUAUUUCAAUGAAAAACUUGUUGUAAAGUUAUCAAUAUAAUGUGCUUGAUUUUCUUUGACAAAUGUAUUGUCAUAUCUUAUGCAACUACAAGAUGCAGGUGCUGGGCGGACAUGGGAUGAUGCUGUAAACAUUGCAAUUUGGUGGAGAGGGCACCAAUGAGACCUGCUUGUCAUUUGCAAUUUUGGUUUAUAAUUUUGAAUUUUUGAUACUGGUUGCAGAGAAGUAUGAAAGAAAAGCCACGAGAUUUUGGGAUGUCUUCUACAAGUGCCACAAGGACAAGAUGGUUAGAUAAGGCUGCAAUUGUGACAAAGAGGAAACUAGAUAUCCAAAUGCAGGAACAAACUUAUGGAAACUAGCCACUGUCCACAGAGUAGAAAAGCUGAAAAUAUGAAUGCAAUUGUGCCGCUUUUAAAAUAUGAAUAAAAACAAGACUAGGAUCAUCAAGUGUGGAGCUUUGCCAGUUCUGCUGAAUCACCUUCACUCUCAAAGCCAGACAGUGGUGCAAUUGACAGUAGCAGCCAUGCUAACCCUCUCAUCCUGCAAGGCAAAUAAGGUUGCAAUUGCUUCAUCCGGUGCUCUACAACACUUGGCUGAAUUUGUAAUAGCGGUGACAUCAGUUACAGCUUGAUGUUGUGACCACAAUCCACAACCUCUCAACCUGCGAAGAGAUUGUUCCAUUGAUCGUUGCUUCUGGCAUUAUACUUUCAUUGCUUGAACUGGUCCACAACUCUGAAAUCAUCUCCACUGGGUGAAAAGGCGAUUGGUUUGCUCGAAAAUAUUGUCUCUUCAUCAGAGAGUGCACUUUGUGAGGCGGCUAGUGUUGGUGGGGCAAUUCGGAUACUGGUCGAGACUAUUGAAGAUGGAUCAUCACUAGGGNNNCACGCAGUUGGUAUACUUUUCCUUAUAUGCCAAAGUUGCAGAGAGAAAUACAGAGGAAUGAUUCUAAGAGAGGGAGGGAUGCCAGGACUGCAUCAGUUAAGCAUAGAUGGAACGCGGAGAGCCAAGAACAUGGCUCGAGAACUGUUGUUGCUUCUGAGAGAUUACUCCGAUUAUAGUUCAAGACAAACACAAAUAAUCAUGAGCUCAUAGAGCGGAUCAUGGAAGAAAUUGAUGCAGAUGGAGAGAAAUUGGCUGAUGCUAAGCUGCGGUUAGUAAAGGAGAUGAUUGCAAAGCUGAACACAUAAUCUUCAGCAUCCUUGUGAUAAGCUUUCAACCAAGCAUCCUAAUAAUCUUCAGCACAUUGGUGAGAUUUAUUGGCAAACAUGAAUAUAUGUAUUUAAAAUGUUAGUUGAAACUUUUAAUAUCUAUUUUAAUUAGAAUUUCAUUAGUUAUUAAGGUUUUAUCUUUUUUCUGAAUUUUAUU